GAUUAUGGCUCAGAACGAACGCUGGCGGCAGGCCUAACACAUGCAAGUCGAGCGCGCCCUUCGGGGUGAGCGGCGGACGGGUUAGUAACGCGUGGGAACGUACCCUUUGGUAGGGAAUAGCCACUGGAAACGGUGAGUGAUACCCUAUGAGCCCUUCGGGGGAAAGAUUUAUCGCCAAAGGAUCGGCCCGCGUUAGAUUAGGUAGUUGGUGGGGUAAUGGCCUACCAAGCCUACGAUCUAUAGCUGGUUUUAGAGGAUGAUCAGCAACACUGGGACUGAGACACGGCCCAGACUCCUACGGGAGGCAGCAGUGGGGAAUCUUGGACAAUGGGGGCAACCCUGAUCCAGCCAUGCCGCGUGAGUGAAGAAGGCCUUAGGGUCGUAAAGCUCUUUCGCCUGUGAAGAUAAUGACGGUAGCAGGUAAAGAAACCCCGGCUAACUCCGUGCCAGCCGCGGC
rnacentral:rRNA from 1 species